rnacentral:rRNA from 1 species
UGUCUGAACAUGGGGGGACCAUCCUCCAAGGCUAAAUACUCCUUACCGACCGAUAGUGAACCAGUACCGUGAGGGAAAGGCGAAAAGAACCCCGUUGAGGGGAGUGAAAUAGAACCUGAAACCGUGUGCGUACAAGCAGUAGGAGCAGACUUGUUCUGUGACUGCGUACCUUUUGUAUAAUGGGUCAGCGACUUAAUUUAUGUAGCGAGCUUAACCGAAUAGGGGAGGCGCAGGGAAACCGAGUCUUAAUAGGGCGAACAGUUGCUGGGUGUAGACCCGAAACCGAGUGAUC